rnacentral:rRNA from 1 species
CCUACGGGCGGCAGCAGUCGAGAAUCAUUCACAAUGGGGGAAACCCUGAUGGUGCGACGCCGCGUGGGGGAAUGAAGGUCUUCGGAUUGUAAACCCCUGUCAUGUGGGAGCAAAUUAAAAAGAUAGUACCACAAGAGGAAGAGACGGCUAACUCUGUGCCAGCAGCCGCGGUAAUACAGAGGUCUCAAGCGUUGUUCGGAAUCACUGGGCGUAAAGCGUGCGUAGGCUGUUUCGUAAGUCGUGUGUGAAAGGCGCGGGCUCAACCCGCGGACGGCACAUGAUACUGCGAGACGAGAGUAAGGGAGGGGGAACGGGAAUGCGCGGUGUAGCAGUGAAAUGCGUAGAUAUCGAGAGGAACACUCGUGGCGAAGGCGGGUUCCUGGACAUUAACUGACGCUGAGGCACGAAGGCCAGGGGAGCGAAAGGGAUUAGAUACCCCUGUAGUC